UAAGACCGACGGGAGGCAGCAGUGAGGAAUAUUGGUCAAUGGGCGAGAGCCUGAACCAGCCACGUCGCGUGAAGGAUGACGGCCCUACGGGUUGUAACCUUCUUUUGUCAGGGAGCAAUUGGGUCCACGUGUGGGCUUAGCGAGAGUACCUGAAGAAAAAGCAUCGGCUAACUCCGUGCCAGCAGCCGCGGUAAUACGGAGGAUGCGAGCGUUAUCCGGAUUUAUUGGGUUUAAAGGGUGCGUAGGCGGAAUAUCAAGUCAGCGGUAAAAAUUCGG
rnacentral:rRNA from 1 species